UCCGAUUUGAAUAUCGGCAGUCUCGUUAGAGUGCCCGGCCGAACCGCUGGCAACUAACGACAAGGGUUGCGCUCGUUGCGGGACUUAACCCAACAUCUCACGACACGAGCUGACGACAGCCAUGCAGCACCUGUGUUCAGGCUCCCUUUCGGGCACCCUCCAAUCUCUCGGAGGUUCCUGACAUGUCAAGGGUAGGUAAGGUUUUUCGCGUUGCAUCGAAUUAAUCCACAUCAUCCACCGCUUGUGCGGGUCCCCGUCAAUUCCUUUGAGUUUUAAUCUUGCGACCGUACUCCCCAGGCGGUCUACUUCACGCGUUAGCUGCGUUACCAAGUCAAUUAAGACCCGACAACUAGUAGACAUCGUUUAGGGCGUGGACUAC
rnacentral:misc_RNA from 1 species